rnacentral:rRNA from 1 species
GACGAACCUUGCAAACGUUAUUCGGAAUCACUGGGCUUAAAGGGUGCGUAGGCUGUGCAGAAAGUUGGGUGUGAAAUACCUCGGCUUAACCGAGGAAUUGCGCCCAAAACUACUGUGCUCGAGGAAGAUAGAGGUGAGCGGAACUUAGGGUGGAGCGGUGAAAUGCGUUGAUAUCCUAAGGAACACCAGUGGCGAAAGCGGCUCACUGGAUCUUAUCUGACGCUGAGGCACGAAAGCCAGGGUAGCAAACGGG